rnacentral:lncRNA from 1 species
UCAAAUUCUACAUAGUAAAUACAUUGUAGCAAGGCCACCUUUUGAGCCCUUCCUCUAUAGUUUACCAUGGCAAUUCUAGCAUCUGUGUUUUAUAUAUACCAAUGCUCAGCUCUGAAGGGAAGCCAUAUGGUUAAUCAGUGGUAGAGCCAGUCCUGCCUUAAGAAAAAAACCCAACCUCUUGCAUCACGAUAAAAAAAAAAUCAUACAGUUUUGUUACAGGUUGAUUUUUAUUUAUGAUUUUAUUUAUUUGGUUGAUUGGCUGGUUAGUUUGAAUUGAGUGAACCAAUCUAAAGGUUUGGGGUUUUAUCUCUACAAAUUUUCUAGCCAGAUGAUUUCUUUAGAGAGACAGUGACAGUUUAGAAGUAUUUAUAGAAUUAAAAGAGAAAAGAGAAGUGGGUUGCAGAGGGUGUUACAAUGCCUUGCUGUGAUUGGAAAAUAAUAAUAAUAAACUCCUGUUGUUCAUUUGUACAAGGUUGGAAACAUGCAUUGAAGCCCACACUCUAAUCCAUAUGGAUUUUCAUUUUCUCAAAAAACAAUAAUCGUCCUGCCUUUGUCUGAGGGGAUUUGAAUUGCACGAAUGGUAUCUGACUCCACUGUUCUGCAAAGAAUAGUUCAUGACUGAAUGGCCUCCUCUGGGACUCCACUUCUGAUUGAAAUUCAAGAAUAAUACUGGCUCAAAACUUGUUUUUAACCCUAGAAGUUAAAAAGGGAGUCUAACUACAUGAAGAUACAGUUUUACCCCGAAAAUAUUCAGUAUAGAGUGUUAACAGAGUUGCAGAAUGAUUGUGUUGGUUUCAGGGUUCCAAGAACACUUCUGAUCAACUACGGCCUGAGUUGUAAAGACUGAGGGAGGAGAAUGGAUUUAAGAGGCAAGUCAGAUCAAUAGAAUUAAAUAACACCUUGGAUCCAGACAGAUCAGGCUCUGAUCCCGACUCCGAAAUUUCCCAUGAUGACCACUGGCAAAGUACUCUCCCUAUGUGAGCAUCUGUUUCCUUACCCGAGAUAAGAGUAAUAAGACACAUGUUGCAUGGCUCUUGUGAGGAC